rnacentral:rRNA from 1 species
AAUGAACGCUGGCGGCAUGCCUAACACAUGCAAGUCGAACGAGACCUCCGGGUCUAGUGGCGCACGGGUGCGCAAAGCGGGGGAACCUGCCCUUAGGUUUGGAAUAACUCCCCGAAAGGGGUGCUAAAACCGGAUAAUGUCUUCGGACCAAAGGUUUAUCGCCUUUGGAUGGGCCCGCGUUGGAUUAGCUAGUUGGUAGGGUAAAAGCCUACCAAGGCGACGAUCCAUAGCUGGUCUGUGAGGAUGAUCCGCCACACUGGGGCUGAGACACGGCCCAGACUCCUACGGGAGGCAGCAGUGGGGGAUAUUGGACAGUGGGCGGAGGCCUGAUCCAGCAAUGCCGCGUGAGUGAUGAAGGCCUUAGGGUUGUAAAGCUCUUUUACCCGGGAUGAUAAUGACGGUACCGGGAGAAUAAGCUCCGGCUAACUCCGUG